rnacentral:rRNA from 1 species
UGGGGAAUUUUGGACAAUGGACGCAAGUCUGAUCCAGCCAUGCCGCGUGCGGGAAGAAGGCCUUCGGGUUGUAAACCGCUUUUGUCAGGGAAGAAACGAGUUCCUCUAAUACAGAGACUUAAUGACGGUACCUGAAGAAUAAGCACCGGCUAACUACGUGCCAGCAGCCGCGGUAAUACGUAGGGUGCAAGCGCUAAUCGGAAUUACUGGGCGUAAAGCGUGCGCAGGCGGUUAUGCAAGACAGAUGUGAAAUCCCCGGGCUCAACCUGGGACCUGCAUUUGUGACUGUAUAGCUAGAGUACGGUAGAGGGGGAUGGAAUUCCGCGUGUAGCAGUGAAAUGCGUAGAUAUGCGGAGGAACACCGAUGGCGAAGGCAAUCCCCUGGACCUGUACUGACGCUCAUGCACGAAAGCGUGGGGAGCAAACA